GCCCUGGAGGACUAGUGAUUAGGCCACAGUGCUCUCACCGCUUUAGCCCGGGUUCGAUUCCCGGCCAGGGAA
rnacentral:tRNA from 1 species